rnacentral:rRNA from 1 species
GAUGAACGCUAGCUACAGGCUUAACACAUGCAAGUCGAGGGACCGGCGCACGGGUGAGUAACACGUAUCCAUCCUGCCCUUUACUCGGGGAUAGCCUUUCGAAAGAAAGAUUAAUACCCGAUAUAAAGGGUGGGGAUGCGUUCCAUUAGGUUGUUGGUGAGGUAACGGCCCACCAAGCCUUCGCUGGAUAGGGGUUCUGAGAGGAAGGUCCCCCGGAUUGGAACUGCGACACGGACCAAACUGCUACGGGAGGCAGCAGUGAGGAAUAUUGGUCAAUGGGCGUUAGCCUGAACCAGCCACGUAGCGUGAAGGAUGAAGGGUUAUGGGUCGUAAACUGCUUUUGUAUAAGAAGAUGUAUUAUAUGAAUAAGGAUCGGCUAACUCCGUGCCAGCAGCCGCGGUAAUAC